CACCACUCAAGCUCUGCUUGGUAUUGGGCCCUCGUCCCCCCGGGGACGUGCCCGAAAAUCAGUGGCGUCGCCGCCUGACUUCAAGCGCAGUAAUUCUUCUCGCUUUGGAAGGAAGGGUCGGUCGACCGCCAGACAAACCCAUCAUUUUUCUAU
rnacentral:misc_RNA from 1 species